GACGAACGCUGGCGGCGUGCUUAACACAUGCGAGUCGAACGGAAAGGCCUGCUUUCCCUUGUGGAUUGCGGGUACUCGAGUGGCGAACGGGUGAGUAACACGUGAGUGAUCUGCCCCCAACUUGGGUAUAAGCCUGGGAAACUGGGUCUAAUUCCCGAUAGGACUGCAGGGUGGUGCCUGUGGUGGAACACGAUUUUCUAGUGGUUGGGGAUGAGCUCGCGGCCUAUCAGCUUGUUGGUGGGGUAAUGGCCUACCAAGGCGGCGACGGGUAGCCGGCCUGGGAGGGUGGACGGCCACAUUGGGACUGGGAUACGGCCCAGACUCCUACGGGAGGCAGCAGUGGGGAAUAUUGCACAAUGGGCGGAAGCCUGAUGCAGCGACGCCGCGUGGGGGAUGACGGCCUUCGGGUUGUAAACUCCUUUCGACCGCGAGGAAGCCACCUGGUUGGAAGGGUGGUGACGGUAGUGGGAGAAGAAGCACCGGCUAACUACGUG
rnacentral:rRNA from 1 species